GAAAAGACCAAGUGCUCCGUUUCGCGGCUUUUUAUACUGCAUGUCACCUGCCGUUUGGAAUAAGCUGAUUCCACGAUUUCCUGCCAGACGGUGCUAUACAAAUGUUGUGCACGGUGAUACUUGUACCUUGGACCUCAGCAACUGAUUGAGGAAAACAAGAGAGCACAACUUGACGUACAAUUUAAUCCUACUAUGAUUUGGAGCAGGACCUGUGUUCAGCUGUUGUUCAGCCAGGCUCAUUUUCAGAGACUAAAAGUCAUUUCACUCAAUAGCUGAAGAUGGAGGUUAGAGAGGUUGGAGAGAUCUUAGUGUCUGGUACUCCAGACCUCAUAAGUGGAAUCAGCAGGGUCUGUCCCACCCAUCUUUUAAGAAGGCCCCCGCUUCUCCUCGUGGUAUUAAUCCCUCUCGUCGUCAACCCCUUAUUAUUCAGACACGCUUCUAGAAUAGCAGCAGAUUGACAGGGAUAGAAAGAGUCUAGAAGCCAAG